rnacentral:rRNA from 1 species
CAGCAGCCGCGGUAAUACGAAGGGGGCUAGCGUUGCUCGGAAUUACUGGGCGUAAAGGGAGCGUAGGCGGACAUUUAAGUCAGGGGUGAAAUCCCAGAGCUCAACUCUGGAACUGCCUUUGAUACUGGGUGUCUUGAGUGUGAUGGAGGUAUGUGGAACUCCGAGUGUAGAGGUGAAAUUCGUAGAUAUUCGGAAGAACACCAGUGGCGAAGGCGACAUACUGGAUCAUUACUGACGCUGAGGCUCGAAAGCGUGGGGAGCAAACAGGAUUAGAUACCCUGGUAGUCCACGCUGUAAACGAUGAGUGCUAGUUGUCGGCAUGCAUGCAUGUCGGUGACGCAGCUAACGCAUUAAGCACUCCGCCUGGGGAGUACGGUCGCAAGAUUAAAACUCAAAGGAAUUGACGG